rnacentral:misc_RNA from 1 species
CUUAGUACCGGUGACGGGC